rnacentral:rRNA from 1 species
CUCGGAGUUUGAUCCUGGCUCAGGAUGAACGCUAGCGGCAGGCUUAACACAUGCAAGUCGAGGGGUAUAGUAGCAAUACUAGAGACCGGCGCACGGGUGCGUAACGCGUAUGCAAUCUACCUUUUGCAGAGGGAUAGCCCAGAGAAAUUUGGAUUAAUACCUCAUAGUAUGUGAGAAUCGCAUGGUUUUCACAUUAAAGUUCCAACGGUAAAAGAUGAGCAUGCGUCCCAUUAGCUAGUUGGUAAGUAACGGCUUACCAAGACAAUGAUGGGUAGGGGUCCUGAGAGGGA